rnacentral:lncRNA from 1 species
AGAAAAUCUAUUUUGAAAUUCACUAAUGAGUCCUAAUUGUCUUGCUCUUUAGAACUUCAAUUUUGUGCCAAUUCAUAUUUUUAUGUAUCAAAUUGUGCUUAUUUUCUAAAGGAAUAAAAGAAAGUUUUUAAAAGAGCUCUAAGAUGUAUCAAAAAUUGCAUGAAUCCGUAUUUUGGUAUUUGUGCCCCAAUGCUCUUAUUACCAUAAAAGAACUUUGAAGUCAUUAAGAAUUAAUGAUCCAACAUGAUGAUAUAUUUUUCAAGUAUAUAAGUUUUGAUCUUAUACUCUGAAAAUUAAUUAAAUUGCUCUCAUGUUGAUAAAAUACUUAAUAUAUUGGGCAAAAGAUCUUAAAUGAACAAGCUUUCAUACUUAUUAUUGAAGAGAGGUUAGAUUUUCAUUCGUGCUUUCCUUGAAUAUCAUUUGUGGUACUUCUUGAAUUAACUUAAGAAAGAUUCCACCUACACUUGAUUUGAAAACUAUCUUUAGAAUCACAUUCGAUGUGUUCUCCUCUGAAAUUAUCUUAAUUGGCUCUGGUCUAUGCUCAUUAAUCUUUUUCUAACAUUAUUGUCUUGAGUUAUAUGAUUCAUAUUCUUACAAUAAUUUGACAUGCAAAU